CAUGCUGGUAGGAGUUACACUAAGUGCAACUGCUUCUGGAGCCCUCUUCAGUUAGAAAGAGAAGGAUUCCAUAGUGUGGAAGCAGCGCAAAUUACUGAAGACUCUUCCUGCAUUCUCUUUAAGUGCCUGGCUAACAUUAGGACCUUGAUUAAAAUGACCUGACUGAAGUUCAAUCCAGAUGUAGUUCUUCAAGGUCACGUUGAUCUUUCAAACCUUGCAUGAUGUUUAUCCUACACACCAGAGAAAUCAUCAUCUAUCUCCAUGAAAACCAUCUUUACAGAGGUGGGACUACCCUUCACUGCCACUGAUUGACAAGGCUGGUCAUCUUCCAUGGCUGCAGAGAGCAGAGACCCAGUGUCUGAACCUUAUUACUCCAAGAAAGGAAACUUAAGGAAGUAUCUCUUUAUCCCUGUUAACCUGACAAGAAUGGAAAUGUGAAAUCACCCAGUACUAAAUGUGAAUAAAGGUUCAGAUGAACCCAAAAUACAAAGUGAAACUGGAGUGGUACCAACCAAAACAAACUGAAAUCAAAGGAAGUGUUCAUAAAACCCCAGAUCAUCACACCCAGAAAUGGUGUACCUACAGCUAUGAAUUUCUGGGGAUAUCCUAAUGGAAAUCUGAGACAACCGGGAGUAACACAGAUGAGAUUUUCUCAUUAGUGAAAUCCUCUUCUUUAUGCUAAAAGGAAGGGAGUCAGAGAUGGACUCAUUGGGAGCAUACACAAUUCAGAAGAGUUGAGAGAGAUCUCAAAAUGACUGACAAAUGAAGAUAAAAACCAUCACCCCAUUUUGAAGAAGAGGAAAAUGAGGAAUUAGAUGCUGUCUAUUCAUCAAAAGUUUUUACAACAAAACUCUGUCAGCAACAAGCCUGAGAGGCAGAUGGAGGAGAUGGAAAGAACCAAGACAGCAGACUUGUCUUUGGGAUCCAAGAGCAGAGGGAGAGAUCAGAAGAGAAGAAAUAUCCCAUUCUACACCUUAUUCUCCUGUUAAAGGCAAAUCCCUGUGAACAGAAGAUGCUGCUUCUCUCACUAUACCUUCUCCUAAUGAUGACAAGGAAAUCAGAAAGGGGAGGGGUGGUAUUGUUGGCUCCUUGGUGUCUUUGCCACCCAUGAUUCUUUGGUGAACCAAGCUUAGACUCUGUUUUAAUCUCCCCACCUACAAUUAAGUGCCAGGAAAUUGAAAAGAGCUGUUUCAUAGCUGAGUAUCUCUUCACAAAGGUUGCAGAUUGCCUGAUUAGAAGCAGAAGGACUUCCACAUCAUUGACCUAUUCCUGUACGGAAGCCCUUCACUAGAUGACCAGUAGAAUAGGACAGCAGAAGGAGACUAUGACAAAUACAAUUACUGGUCUGUAACAUCCAGACUUGCCAGUACUUGUUUGGUAUUAUGGACCAGCAUGCACUCAGCUGGUCACAUCACAACCACCACUAAACCCUCAUUAGGGACCAGUGCAGCGCUACACAAGAAGGUGAAACAGAGAGUCACGAUGGGUUUAGUCAUGGGAAGGGAGGAGGCUACCUACUUCCUCCUGGCAUCACCCUGGUCGGGGUAUUGUAAACACUGUACACAACAGUGAAUG